rnacentral:rRNA from 1 species
AUGCAGUCGACGGCAGCGCGGGAGCAAUCCUGGCGGCGAGUGGCGAACGGGUGAGUAAUACAUCGGAACGUGCCCAAUCGUGGGGGAUAACGCAGCGAAAGCUGUGCUAAUACCGCAUACGAUCUACGGAUGAAAGCAGGGGAUCGCAAGACCUUGCGCGAAUGGAGCGGCCGAUGGCAGAUUAGGUAGUUGGUGAGGUAAAGGCUCACCAAGCCUUCGAUCUGUAGCUGGUCUGAGAGGACGACCAGCCACACU